UAAUUCUUGUUACUUGGAUAACAGUCUUUUC
rnacentral:piRNA from 1 species